GCCAGUGUGGUGUAGUGGUUUGUUUGUUGGACUACAACUCUGGAGACCAGGGUUCAAUUCUCUAUUUGGCU